UACGAAGGGUGCAAGCGUUACUCGGAAUUACUGGGCGUAAAGCGUGCGUAGGUGGUUUGUUAAGUCUGCUGUGAAAGCCCCGGGCUCAACCUGGGAAUGGCAGUGGAUACUGGCAAGCUAGAGUGCGGUAGAGGGGUGUGGAAUUCCCGGUGUAGCGGUGAAAUGCGUAGAUAUCUGGAGGAACACCGGUGGCGAAGGCGGCAUCCUGGACCGGUAUUGACGCUGAGGCGCGAAAGCCAGGGGAGCAAACAGG
rnacentral:rRNA from 1 species